rnacentral:rRNA from 1 species
AUAGCCAUGCAUGUCUAGUAUAAGCAAUUUAUACCGUGAAACUGCGAAUGGCUCAUUAAAUCAGUUAUCGUUUAUUUGAUAGUACCUUACUACUUGGAUACCCGUGGUAAUUCUAGAGCUAAUACAUGCUAAAAACCUCGACUUCGGAAGGGGUGUAUUUAUUAGAUAAAAAACCAAUGCCCUUCGGGGCUCCUUGGUGAUUCAUAAUAACUUAACGGAUCGCAUGGCCUUGCGCCGGCGACGGUUCAUUCAAAUUUCUGCCCUAUCAACUUUCGAUGGUAAGGUAUUGGCUUACCAUGGUUGCAACGGGUAACGGGGAAUUAGGGUUCGACUCCGGAGAGGGAGCCUGAGAAACGGCUACCACAUCCAAGGAAGGCAGCAGGCGCGCAAAUUACCCAAUCCCGACACGGGGAGGUAGUGCCAAUAAAUACUGAUACAGGGCUCUUUCGGGUCUCGUAAUUGGAAUGAGUACAAUUUAAAUCCCUUAACGAGGAACAAUUGGAGGGCAAGUCUGGUGCCAGCAGCCGCGGUAAUUCCAGCUCCAAUAGCGUAUAUUAAAGUUGUUGCAGUUAAAAAGCUCGUAGUUGAACCUUGGGCCUGGCUGGCCGGUCCGCCUCACCGCGAGUACUGGUCCGGCCGGGCCUUUCUUUCUGGAGAUCCCCAUGCCCUUCACUGGCUGUGUGGGGAACCAGGACUUUUACUGUGAAAAAAUUAGAGUGUUCAAAGCAGGCCUUUGCUCGAAUACAUUAGCAUGGAAUAAUAGAAUAGGACGUGCGGUUCUAUUUUGUUGGUUUCUAGGACCGCCGUAAUGAUUAAUAGGGAUAGUCGGGGGCAUCAGUAUUCAAUUGUCAGAGGUGAAAUUCUUGGAUUUAUUGAAGACUAACUACUGCGAAAGCAUUUGCCAAGGAUGUUUUCAUUAAUCAGUGAACGAAAGUUAGGGGAUCGAAGACGAUCAGAUACCGUCGUAGUCUUAACCGUAAACUAUGCCGACUAGGGAUCGGGCGA